rnacentral:rRNA from 1 species
UUCCGGUUGAUCCUGCCAGCGGGCACCGCUAUUGGAGUUCGCUUAAGCAAUGCGAGUCGAGAGGGGUAAGCCCUCGGCGCACUGCUCAGUAACACGCGGACAAUCUGCCCUCGAGACGGGGAUAACUCCGGGAAACUGGAGAUAAUACCCGAUGGGCCUGGGAUGAUGGAAUGCUCCCAGGUUGAAAUCCUGAGGGGCUCGAGGAUGGGUCUGCGGCCUAUCAGGUUGUAGGGGGUGUCACGGACCCCCUAGCCGAAGACGGGUACGGGCUUUGGGAGAAGUCGCCCGGAGAUGGGUUCUGAGACACGAACCCAGGUCCUACGGGACGCAGCAGGCGCGAAACCUCCACAAUGUGGGAAACCACGAUGGGGGAACUCCAAGUGCCUGCACUUUUGUGCAGGCUGUUCUAGAGCCUAAAAAGCUCGAGAAGUAAGGGCCGGGUAAGACGGGUGCCAGCCGCCGCGGUAAUACCCGCGGCCCGAGUGGUGCUCAUUAUUAUUGAGCCUAAAGCGUCCGUAGCUGGCCAUGCAAAUCUCCGGGGAAAUCGGACGGCCCAACUGUCCGAA